GCAUGCAAGUCGAGCGACGCAUACCGGAGGGGUAACCCACUGGUAUGACGGAGCGGCGAACGGGUGAGUAACACGUGAGUAACCUGCCCCACAGACCGGGACAGCCCAGGGAAACCUGGAUUAAUACCGGAUACCCUCGGGGGAUCGCAUGAUCUUUCGAGGAAAUGCCUUUGUGCUGUGGGAUGGACUCGCGACUUAUCAGCUAGUUGGUGGGGUAACGGCCUACCAAGGCGUCGACGAGUAGCUGGUCUGAGAGGACGAUCAGCCACACUGGGACUGAGACACGGCCCAGACUCCUACGGGAGGCAGCAGCAGGGAAUCUUGCGCAAUGGGCGAAAGCCUGACGCAGCAACGCCGCGUGGGGGAUGAAGGCCUUCGGGUUGUAAACCCCUUUCAGGAGGGAAGAAAUUGACGGUACCUCCAAAAGAAGCACCGGCCAACUACGUGCCAGCAGCCGCGGUAAUACGUAGGGUGCGAGCGUUAUCCGGAAUCAUUGGGCGUAAAGAGCUCGUAGGCGGUUCAGCAAGUCGGCUGUGAAAUUUCGAGGCUCAACCUCGAAACUGCAGUCGAAACUGCUGUGACUCGAGUCCGGUAGAGGAGAAUGGAAUUCCCGGUGUAGCGGUGAAAUGCGCAGAUAUCGGGAGGAACACCAGUAGCG
rnacentral:rRNA from 1 species